AUAGCAGGUCGGUUUGUCGCUCUGUUGCAAAACAGGGAGGAAAGUCCGGGCAACGCAGAGCACCAUACUUCCUAACGGGAAGCAGUCCGCGAGGGUUGAGUAACGUAACAGAAAAUAACCGUUUCGAUCCACAUUUUUCAUAGUUGUUUCUUUGUUGAAACAAUUGAAGAAUGCGAAAUAAGGGUGAAAAGGUGAGGUAAGAGCUCACCGGUACUUUUGGCAACAAAGGUAGCCGUACGUCUUAUGGGUUGCAAGAUCAUGUAUACCGGCGCAUGUAGGAUGGCUCGUCCGAUGCCGGGGGGUAGAUUGCUGGAGGCACAAGGUGACUUGUGUCCAAGAUAAAUGACAAACACUUCGUGAAAACGAAGCACAGAACCCGGCUUACAGACCUGCUGUUUUU
rnacentral:RNase_P_RNA from 1 species